rnacentral:rRNA from 1 species
GUUAUCACGGGAGACACACGGCGGGUGCUAACGUCCGUCGUGAAGAGGGAAACAACCCAGACCGCCAGCUAAGGUCCCAAAGUCAUGGUUAAGUGGGAAACGAUGUGGGAAGGCCCAGACAGCCAGGAUGUUGGCUUAGAAGCAGCCAUCAUUUAAAGAAAGCGUAAUAGCUCACUGGUCGAGUCGGCCUGCGCGGAAGAUGUAACGGGGCUAAACCAUGCACCGAAGCUGCGGCAGCGAACGUAUCACUUAAAGCGAUUCASSGRGUUACGAUUGACGGAGCGAAGCGACGUCAAAGCGUAUACAAAGUCGAGUYGGYUUARGGAUACGUUCGUUGGGUAGGGGAGCGUUCUGUAAGCCUGUGAAGGUGGCCUGUGAGGGUUGCUGGAGGUAUCAGAAGUGCGAAUGCUGACAUAAGUAACGAUAAAGCGGGUGAAAAGCCCGCUCGCCGGAAGACCAAGGGUUCCUGUCCAACGUUAAUCGGGGCAGGGUGAGUCGACCCCUAAGGCGAGGCCGAAAGGCGUAGUCGAUGGGAAACGGGUUAAUAUUCCCGUACUUGGUGUUACUGCGAA